rnacentral:misc_RNA from 1 species
CAAGGCUGGUGUCAGUGCAAUCAGAAGGCUAAGGAAGACAGACAAUAACAGAAUUGCUAAGGCAUGUGGGGCAGUUAUUGUUAAUAGACCUGAUGAGUUGCAAGAAUCUGAUGUUGGUACUGGUGCCGGUCUGUUUGAAGUGAAAAAAAUUGGGGAUGAGUUCUUUACUUUUAUUGUUGAUUGCAAGGAUCCGAAAGCAUGUACUAUACUUUUAAGGGGUGCGAGCAAAGAUCUACUGAAUGAAGUAGAAAGAAAUCUACAGGAUGCCAUGUCUGUCGCUAGAAACAUCAUCAAGUGUCCUAAGCUAGUUCCCGGUGGUGGUGCAACAGAGUUAACUGUAUCUGCCAUGUUAAAGCAGAAAAGUUCAUCCGUUGAAGGCAUAGAAAAGUGGCCGUAUGAAGCUGCUGCAAUUGCUUUUGAAGCUAUACCACGAACUUUGGCUCAGAACUGUGGUGUAAAUGUGAUUCGUACUAUGACCGCUCUUCAAGGAAAGCAUGCAAAUGGCGAGAAUGCAUGGAUAGGCAUUGAUGGAAACACUGGUGAGAUUACCGACAUGAAAGAGCGGAAGAUAUGGGAUUCCUAUGCUGUAAAAGCACAGGCUUUUAAAACUGCCAUUGAAGCUGCUUGCCUACUUCUGAGAAUUGAUGACAUUGUGAGUGGAAUAAAGAAGAAGCAAGCCCCUGGAGCAGGACAAGGUCCAUCAAAACCAAAAAUAGACGAAGAAGGUGAUGCAGACAAUGACCAGCUAAUUCCGGAAUGAACAUGAUAUACUAUGCUGCAAUGGAAAUGCUUAUGCAUUUGAUAACCACCUGGAAGUUUUCAUCUACUUCAGUAUAGUCUGCCCUUGACUGAUUGCUUGAACUUUUUGUGCUUGACAUGUAACUUCUGCUGUUUUUGACUGCUGGCAGUUGUUGGUUGUAUUUGAAAUAGAUUUUGUUUCAGUUUUUGGUUUUAAAUUAAAUUUGAUGUUGCAAGUACAAUGACUAAUCAAUGUAGGGGUAUCAUGUUUUUC